rnacentral:rRNA from 1 species
ACAGCAGCCGCCGCGGGAAUACGGAGGGUGCAAGCGUUAAUCGGAAUUACUGGGCGUAAAGCGCACGCAGGCGGUUUGUUAAGUCAGAUGUGAAAUCCCCGAGCUUAACUUGGGAACUGCAUUCGAAACUGGCAAGCUAGAGUCUUGUAGAGGGGGGUAGAAUUCCAGGUGUAGCGGUGAAAUGCGUAGAGAUCUGGAGGAAUACCGGUGGCGAAGGCGGCCCCCUGGACAAAGACUGACGCUCAGGUGCGAAAGCGUGGGGAGCAAACAGGAUUAGAUACCCGCGUAGUCCCUGUCUCUUAUAC